GUGUCAGCAGCCGCGGUAAGACGAACCGAGCGAACGUUAUUCGGAAUCACUGGGCUUAAAGGGCGCGUAGGCGGACUGCCAAGUCAGGGGUGAAAGCCCGCGGCUCAACCGCGGAAGUGCCUUUGAUACUGGCGGUCUCGAGGGAGGUAGGGGCGUGCGGAACUUCCGGUGGAGCGGUGAAAUGCGUAGAUAUCGGAAGGAACACCGGUGGCGAAAGCGGCGCGCUGGACCUCUUCUGACGCUGAGGCGCGAAAGCCAGGGGAGCGAACGGGAUUAGAUACCCCAGUAGUCC
rnacentral:rRNA from 1 species